rnacentral:lncRNA from 10 species
AGAGUACAAGGGGAAACUUACAGCAAAAUUUUCACUGUUGAUAGCUUUCCUGGGGAAGACAACACAUGCACAAAUCCUGGUGUUAGGAAUAUUUUAAGCAUAUAUCUGCAAUAUUAUUCAUCCAGGACUGAAGUAAGUCCUGAUGCAGGAAAUGAGUGAGUUUCACAGCUUUCUGAGCCCCUACUUGACCCAGGAAGCCCAGCUGGCACCUCCUCUCAGUUCCACAUUUACAGUUUUGGAGGCUAGAAGUAAAGAAGUCAAGGUGUUGUAAGGGGAGUGCUGUCACUAAAACAGGUUAUUUGAUAAUUAUCAAGCACUGUUCCAAGAAUGAGGAUUUCAGUAUUAGGAAUUCAGGAGCAGUUUGGUUUGACAGUUCUGAUUCUAGGAUUUUCAUGAGGUUGGCGUCAGAUCUCAGCUGGAGCUGCAGGCAUCUGAUGGUUUGAAGUUGGAGGAUCCAUCCCCAAGGUACCUCACCAAAAGAUUGUCAAGUCUUCUACUCCUUAAGAUAGACAAGAUUGAUGAAAGACUGGAAAUGACUUUGCCUGGACCAUGAUUCAGCGACACUGUCCCUGUGGCAAGACUAUUGGCCAGGCUCAAACGCAGUGGCUGAUCCUCACUGACUCCUCUUCCUAAGGUUGUUGUACUAGGAGCAUCUCCUAACACUACACGGACACAAUUCAAUGACAAAAAUCAGAGAAGGAAAACAAAACAAAACUUCUGGAAUGCCUCUUCAUCUGUACUGUAUCCUUGACAGAAUUCCUAUUGAGUGGUUUUCAUAUUUAACAACAGAUCCAAUUUUGUCAAAUAAAUUCUUACAUGGAACUCCAAUCCGUUGAAUUAGAAGAAAAGUUAGUAUAAGUUAUUUCAAGUUUAAUAGUUUUAGUUGUUAAUUUAUUUCUUAAUUUUGUCUUUCAGGGCACAGUGUUGAGAAAUCAUUUACACAGACAAAAAAUUGCAACUGAUUUUUAACUAUUUCUGCGUGCUAUCUUCCUACAUUUUCCAAUUAAAUUCUGAUAGUUCGACAAGAACUGAUUUCUAUUUUUCAAAAUUAUAUCACUAACUUACCAAUAUUCAACUAGUGCUUGCUUUCAAUGAUUGGUUAAUAUUGGCUCUGAAAACGUUCCUUUGCCAACAUAAAUGUUCAUUAAGAAUUUUUCAAAAAUGUCAAAAAAAUACCACCUCAGUUUCAACUAUGAAGUAACAAUUUAAUAUUUCAAAACAGUCAUAUUUAUUUUUCCUUGCUGUUAAAAUCAAACUUUAGCUUCAAUUUUAAGGCGGGCAUUCUAUAUACAUUUAAAAGUAGGUAAUUUUGUGAGUGUGAAUUGGACUUACUUAGAUUACUAAAAUUAGCAGCAAAAUAUAUAACCUGUUUCCACAACAUCUGGAGUUUAAGUAUUAACACUGUAAAAUAUUAUCUGAAUUUCUCAUAUUUUAAACUAUCAUAUGGACAAUAGAACAGAUUCCACUAUAAAAAUAAUUUUUAAAUCACUUCAAGUAGGAUUACAUGUAACUCUGAAUGAAAUGCAGUUAAAACAUAAAACAUAAUAAAAAUAUAACUAGUGUAGUGUUUGCUGACAGUAUUUGCCUAGCAAAUUUCCUUAAUCAGGGAUCUUUUUAAUGAAACACAAUGAUGGUUCAUACAUAAUAAAAGUCUCAUACGUGCUUUUUUGCUUAGAUAGUUUUCAAAUUUUUAAUACAGCUUUCAUUACACUUUUGAUACCUUACUUGAUAAAAUAUUUUUAAACGCAAAUGCUUAAACACUGUAAAUAUUUUUUCUUAAUUUUUAUGAUUACCUGGAAAAUAAUGAGAACAGUAACAUCUGAAGCCUCUUCCACCUGAAUGAUGAAGAUGUCAAAUAUUCUCAGCCUCAAAUUAAUGUGUCAAGUACAUUGGAUUUGUAUCUUUGUGUUCUUUCCUAUCUUCUUAAAAAAUUGUGCUAAUUACAUUUUCAAAAAUUGUUGUUUUUCUAACAUAUUGGUUACAAUAUCAAUAUAUGUGGCUUAAUAAAAUAGUCUCUGAGAACAUGUGCUUUUCUGAAUGUGUCAGGUGGCAGCUUGCUUUUAACAAUAUUGUAAGUUUUUAUAAUCAGAUUUAAAUUGUGUUUAUCUAAAAUAUUUAUGAACAUUGAAUUUAUGGUGAACAAAGCAGAGUCUUCUUUCAAAUCGCAUGUAGUUAUGUUUCAAAUAUGUGAAAUUUUUGAAUACUUCAUUAAAAUUUUAUUUUAAUAGAACACAUUAAAU